GGCUGCCUCAACUGGACAUAGGGAACCCGGUAGCAGCUACGGUGGGGCUGGCUGGGGCUGGCUGGGGCUGGCCAGAGUCGGGAGCAGGCAAUCGGCAACCAGAGGAAGAGGGAUCCAGGUAGGGGGCCGCUUCGGCAAGGUGGGAAAAUGGGAAGGAAGGCAGCGGUGAGCCAGGGGCAGGGGCUGCUCCCAGACAGCCCCACAGACAGCCGGGAGGCUGGGCUUGCUCCGGUGGGGAGACCCUGAGGCACAAGAGGAGAGACUAGCCCCAGCUGAAUUUUGGAAAGAGCCCUCCGGGUGCCACAUGGAGAACAGAGGACCAAGGAAGCCCGCCCGAGCACCCAGGCACGGCAGCCAGCUGGACCUGUCCACGCGCCACGCCCAGGGACGGGAAGCCACCAGCCCAAGGACACGCAGCUGCAAGAAGGCAGCGCCAGGAUCAAAGCCCAGGCAGCUGCCCUGCUCCAACUGCCACAUCGUCACCCACUCGGUCAGCGAGACUCCGAAAGGCACACGCACGCAUCCAGCCACCACAAGAGACGAGCAAGACAAUUUCAGAGUGUGACUGCAGCACCACACCUAGACCAGAGAGGAUGUGACACACAUGCCUGGACAGGGGCUUAUCUUCAUCCAGGGGGGUCAGGGAGGGUCUCCCCGCAGAGGGGACCCUGGAACAAGGGGCCAAUGCCAAGACGCAGCCAGCCAUGCAGCGACAGGAGGAAGAGCAUUCCAGACGCAGGCACAGAGCGGUCGUCACUUGACCCAGGGACACACAGCUGGUGAGUGGACGGGACCAGGCAGGUUGGCUGCGAGUCGUGUCCCCACCGUGCACUGGACACAGAGAUGGUUACCGUAAGCGACAGCAUCUCCCUCGGCUGGCUCAGCACCGCCAUCCCAGCCGACCCUCCCAACAGCCUCUGCUGCUGCUGCCCCUGUCCUCACCGCUCAGGGACAAGCCAGCUGGGCCCCAGAGCCUCGGCUGUGCCCCUGGGGGUGAGAUGCUUCCUGGCUUCUCUGCCAAUGCGGGGAGCAGGAGUGGAGAAGACAACUCGGGACACCCUAGGAAUCACCUCCAGCCCGCAGGAGGCAGAUACCAGCCAGCAGGAGGCAGAGACCAGCCCCUUGGCCCACCGACAGGGGCGCCCCUUCACCUGCAGCCCUGGGGGAGGUGCAACGCCUGCCACCAUGAGGAAGCAGGAACACCAGUCCAGAAGGCUGAGCUGAGCCGCGACUGGCUCCCAGGCCUCAUCUGAUCCCCAGACGACACAACACCCCCUGCCCCGGGGCACCUCCACGGGGUGGGAAUGGAAUGGAACCGGAGACUCCCAGAAGGCCCUCCAGGACCCCCGUGGACCCUUCUGGGAAACGGGAAUGUAGCAGCACCUGAUGUGCAGUUUCCAUGCAAAGGUUAAUUCAUCUCCCCGCAGACGCACAGAGCAAGCACCCCAGAACUGUCAGCUGCUGGGUCCCCCCAAAGGACGCCACCUGGCGCUGGGCCCUGAAGGUCAGGGGCUCCCACACCUGCAGCCAGAAAGGAAACCGCCAGGCCCAGGCGCCAGGCCCAGCGGUGGGGUCUGGGCCAUUACGGCUGCAGGGUGGGGCCGGGGCCACCCCAGAGCUGGGACACCAUUGAUCGCCAGAAGCAAUUAAUUGUCUGGGUCAACAGACGGGGAAAGAGAUUUGUCACCCGGGACCCAGGGGACCUUCUGGCAAGUGCCUGCGACCCAGGGCAGGGGGAGCCCAAAGUAGGGAGCCCCAGGGUGGAAGGGUGGCUCCUGGGGGUACAGGUGGGGGGCUAGGACAUUCGCAUGCUCCGCCCACCACUCCCCUCCCUUCUCUCCUCCCCACCCUUGCAGGCCCCCCUCUGGAUGCAAUCCCCCCACACCCAUCCCCCAACACCAGCCCCCUGACCCAAGCACUGGCACCCACCCAUCUCUGCACUCUCACCUCAGAGCAGAGUCCCGGGAACACAGGGCAGCCCCGGCAGCAGUGCCCUGUGAACCCCGGAGGGCUGGCACCGUCCUCCAGCCCAGCAAGGGAGAGAGCCACCCAGAGUCCCCGCCGGCCAGGACCUGGCCCGAGACCUGGGUUCGAAUCCCGGAGGCACCACGUUCUGGCGGGUGACCCCGCGCGUGCUGCUUCACUUCUCUGAGGCUGCUUCCUCAGCAAUAAAGGGAGAUGAUGACAGCAAUGGCUAAACCAGCCAGGCUCAGCCUCAAACCCCAGCUCCCCCACAUUUUAGGGCCUGAGGCAGGCACCCUGCUUCUCUCAAUCUGUUUCCGUAACUCUAGAACGAGGGGUGAUGCCGGGGCUAGUCUGUGGAACCGCUGGGAGAACUACGCACUCAGCAAGCGCUCGCUCCAGCUCGCCAUUGGGGUGCACUGGCCCACUCCCCCGGCCCCCAAGCCCAGCCCCCCAACCCUACUCGGACAUCCGCCAACGGCCCCAGGCCGCCUGACAUUGGCAUCGGACGCUGAGCUGAGUCCAGGUAGGGGUUGGCCUGCCACUCAGGCUCCUGCAGGGCCAGAGCCUCCGAAGGCCUGAGCAGACGGGAGCAGCCACCAGUCCCCUCCUGGCCGGGCACGUGGCCACCUCUCCAGCAGGCCCUGGUGGGACAGGCGGGGCCUGAGGCCCUCCCUUCACCAGACACAAAGAAGCUGAGUGCCCCAGCAGACAAGGAGCCUUGGGAGGCGAACCAGGUGGGUGAGGGCGGGUUCAGGGCACCCAUUCUUUGUUCCGAGAUCCUCCUGGCUGCCCCACCACACAGAUGGAAACACCAAGGCCCAAGGACGCCAGCGAAGGGCAGCAGCAGAGCCGUGUCCAGCUGGCACCCGAAAUGAGCAAGGCAGCCCCACAGGUGCUGGGGAGCUGAGGUCACCGGGUCCCCAGAGGUGGAGGGCCCUGAGUCAGAGCGAGAGACUUGGGGGAAACUGAAAACAGGCCCCACGGCGGGCGAGUGAGCAAAGCUGAUUCCCUGCAGGGGGCCCUGUGGCUGAAGGUGGUGCAAGGGAGGGCAGAAGGGUGUGGGGAGCCCCUCCCAGCCCUGCAGGGGAACAGAACGCCAUCCAGAGGAGACGGAGCCGGCUCAGCUCCACCUGCGGGGGCCCCUGUGACCACCGGGCCGGGCCUGAGGCCCGCCUCCACCACUUUCUAGCUGUGUGACCCUGGAGACGUUGCUUAACAUCCCUGAGCCUACUUCCUCACCUGCAAAAAGGAAAAAAAGGCCCAUCUCAAGAGACUCAAGGAGCAAAUGCAUGCCAAGCACACUGCAUACAGUAACAGCUCAAUAAUUCUUUUUUAGUUCCCAAAGUGUUUUUUUUUUUUGAGGUGAAAUCCACAUAACACAAAAUUAACCAUUUUAAAGUGAACAAUGCGGUGCAAUUUUUUGCAGCCACUCCCCCAUCUAGUUCCAAAACAUGUUCAUCACCCCAAAAAGAAACCCCCUACCCAUUCACAGUCACUCCCCAUUCUCCCCCUCCCCCAGCUCCUGACAAGCAACAAUCAUCUGCUUUCUG